GAUGAAGAACGUAGCGAAAUGCGAUAAGUAGUGUGAAUUGCAGAAUUCAGUGAAUCAUCGAAUCUUUGAACGCACAUUGCGCCCCUUGGUAUUCCAUGGGGCAUGCCUGUUCGAGCGUCAUUUGUACCUUCAAGCUCUGCUUGGUGUUGGGUGUUUGUCUCGCCUCUGCGUGUAGACUCGCCUCAAAACAAUUGGCAGCCGGCGUGUUGAUUUCGGAGCGCAGUACAUCUCGCGCUUUGCACUCAUAACGACGACGUCCAAAAGUACAUUUUUACACUCUUGACCUCGGAUCAGGUAGGGAUACCCGCUGAACUUAAGCAUAUCAAUAAGCGGAGGA
rnacentral:misc_RNA from 1 species